rnacentral:rRNA from 1 species
AUUGAACGCUGGCGGCAUGCCUUACACAUGCAAGUCGAACGGUAACAGGUCUUCGGAUGCUGACGAGUGGCGAACGGGUGAGUAAUACAUCGGAACGUGCCUAGUAGUGGGGGAUAACUACUCGAAAGAGUGGCUAGUACCGCAUGAGAUCUACGGAUGAAAGCAGGGGAUCGCAAGACCUUGUGCUACUAGAGCGGCCGAUGGCAGAUUAGGUAGUUGGUGGGAUAAAAGCUUACCAAGCCGACGAUCUGUAGCUGGACUGGGAGGACGAUCAGCCAAACUGGGACUGAGACACGACCAGGAUUCCGACGGGAGGCAGCAGUGGGGAAUUUUGGACAAUGGGCGCAAGCCUGAUCCAGCAAUGCCGCGUGCAGGAUGAAGGCCUUCGGGUUGUAAACUGCUUUUGUACGGAACGAAAAGCCCCGGGUUAAUACCCUGGGGUCAUGACGGUACCGUAAGAAUAAGCACCGGCUAACUACGUGCCAGCCGCCGCCGUAA